UGGGGAAUAUUGGACAAUGGGGGCAACCCUGAUCCAGCAAUGCCGCGUGUGUGAAGAAGGUCUUCGGAUUGUAAAGCACUUUCGACGGGGACGAUGAUGACGGUACCCGUAGAAGAAGCCCCGGCUAACUUCGUGCCAGCAGCCGCGGUAAUACGAAGGGGGCUAGCGUUGCUCGGAAUGACUGGGCGUAAAGGGCGUGUAGGCGGUUUACACAGUCAGAUGUGA
rnacentral:rRNA from 1 species